rnacentral:rRNA from 1 species
UGGGGAAUUUUGGACAAUGGGGGAAACCCUGAUCCAGCCAUCCCGCGUGUGCGAUGAAGGCCUUCGGGUUGUAAAGCACUUUUGGCAGGAAAGAAACGUCAUGGGUUAAUACCCCGUGAAACUGACGGUACCUGCAGAAUAAGCACCGGCUAACUACGUGCCAGCAGCCGCGGUAAUACGUAGGGUGCAAGCGUUAAUCGGAAUUACUGGGCGUAAAGCGUGCGCAGGCGGUUCGGAAAGAAAGAUGUGAAAUCCCAGAGCUCAACUUUAGAACUGCAUUUUUAACUACCGGGCUAGAGUGUGUCAGAGGGAGGUGGAAUUCCGCGUGUAGCAGUGAAAUGCGUAGAUAUGCGGAGGAACACCGAUGACGAAGGCAGCCUCCUGGGAUAACACUGACGCUCAUGCACGAAAGCGUGGGGAGCAAACAGG